rnacentral:rRNA from 1 species
GACUAAAAAUAGCUCAAAAUUCACACUCUACUAACCACCCUGAUCUCAUAAAAUAAAACAUUUAUAUUAGUAAAAGUAUAGGUGAUAGAAAUUAUAUCUGACGCUAUAGAGACAGUACCGCGAGGGAAAAUUGAAAGAUAUUUACAAGUAAUAAACAGCAAAGCUUAUCCCUUGUACCUUUUGCAUAAUGAUUCAACUAGAAAUAUAAUUGGUAAAAAGAAUUAAAGUCAAAUAACCCGAAACCAGACGAGCUAUUUAUUAACAGCCAUAAGGGCAAACUCAUCUAUGUGGCAAAAUAGUGAGAUGAUUAAUAAAUAGAGGCGAAAAACCUAUCGAGCCUGGUGAUAGCUGGUUGUCCAAAUUAGAAUUUCAGUUCAAUCUUAAUUCUACUAAGCAAAAAUUAAUAAUUAAUUAAUACGUAGGAUUAAGUUAUAAUCUAAAAGGGUACAGCCUUUUAGAUAAGAGAUACAACUCCCAUUAGAGAGUAAGUUUACUUAAAAUUACAAUAGUUGGCCUAAAAGCAGCCAUCAAGUAAGAUAGCGUUCAAGCUCAACAAUAAUAAAAAUUAAUUCUUAAUAUAAUAACCCAACUCCUAACGAGUACAUUGGACCACUCUAUUAGUUAAUAGAAGUAAUAAUGUUGAUAUGAGUAACAAGAAAUAAUUCUCCUUGCAUACGUGUAUAUCAGAACGGAUAAACCACUGAUAGUUAUCAAAAUUAGUAUAACCACAAACAAGUACAUAAUGAUAAUUGUUAGACCAACACAGGAGUGCUAAUUAAAGGAAAGAUUAAAAAAAGUAAAAGGAACUCGGCAAAUAUAAACCCCGCCUGUUUACCAAAAACAUCACCUCUAGCAUAAAAAGUAUUAGAGGCACUGCCUGCCCAGUGACUUCGGUUCAACGGCCGCGGUAUCCUGACCGUGCAAAGGUAGCAUAAUCACUUGUUCUUUAAUUAAGGACUAGUAUGAACGGCUUAACGAGGGUUUAACUGUCUCUUACUUUAGAUCAGUGAAAUUGACAGUCUCGUGAAGAGGCGAGAAUAUUAAAAUAAGACGAGAAGACCCUAUGGAGCUUUAAUUAAUUAACUCAUGACUGAAAAACAAACCCUUCAUAGAGACAACCACAUGUCAUUGAAUUAGUAAUUUAGGUUGGGGUGACCUCGGAAAAAAAAACAACUUCCGAGAUAUUUAGAUUAAGACCUACAAGUCAAAAUUAAUUAUUAAUACUAUUGACCCAUAUGUAAUGAUCAACGAAACAAGUUACCCUAGGGAUAACAGCGCAAUCCUAUUUAAGAGUCCAUAUCAAAAAUUAGGGUUUACGACCUCGAUGUUGGAUCAGGACAUCCCAAUGGUGCAGCAGCUAUUAAUGUGUUCGUUUGUUCAACGAUUAAAGUCCUACGUGAUCUGAGUUCAGACCGGAGUAAUCCAGGUCGGUUUCUAUCUAUUUAUAUGUCCCUCCCAGUACGAAAGGACAAGAGAGACAAGGCCUACUUAAAAUAAGAGCCUUAAUUAAACAAAUGAAAUUAUCUUAAUUCAAUUAUAGCCAUAAAUACCCAAGAUAAGGGUUA